rnacentral:rRNA from 1 species
AUACGGAGGGUGCAAGCGUUAAUCGGAAUUACUGGGCGUAAAGCGCUCGUAGGCGGCUUGUUAAGUCGGAUGUGAAAGCCCCGGGCUCAACCUGGGAACUGCAUUCGAUACUGGCAAGCUAGAGUAUAGUAGAGGCAAGUGGAAUUCCGGGUGUAGCGGUGAAAUGCGUAGAUAUCCGGAGGAACAUCAGUGGCGAAGGCGACUUGCUGGACUAAUACUGACGCUGAGGAGCGAAAGCGUGGGGAGCAAACGGCAUUAGAAACCCUGGUAGUCC